rnacentral:rRNA from 1 species
GAUGGUACCGUCAAAUACCACAGAUAUUAACCAUGAUACACUUCUUCCCAUCUGACAGGAUUUACAACCGAAGGCCUUCAUCAUCCACGCGGCGUCGCUGCGUCAGGGUUGCCCCCAUUGCGCAAUAUUCCUC